rnacentral:rRNA from 1 species
UCCUGGUCCCAUCUUUACUACACCUGUGCACCUAUGGUGAGCGUCUCCCGUUCGGAGCCGUCCCGCGCCCUUUGGGCGUCGGACUGGGGCCCUCCCAUCUUAACMUUUACACCCCAUCUUAACAACGCAUGUCAUUGUCCCAAAAAGUUAAUACAACUUUCAACAACGGAUCUCUUGGCUUUUGCAUCGAUGAAGAACGCCGCGWACGUGCGAAACGUAAUGUGAAUUGCAGAAUUCAGUGAAUCAUCGAAUCUUUGAACGCAUCUUGCGCCCCUUGGAAUUCCGAGGGGCAUGCCUGUUUGAGUGUCGUGUACUACCCUCAGGCUUACCUCUUUGUUGAGGUGGGCUUGGAUUUGGACGUCUGCGGGGGGGGAGGGUUUACCCUUCGGGGUCUCGCCSCCCGCUCGUCUUUAAAUGCAUUAGCUUUGGUCUUGGUUCCAGCGAGGGCGUGAUAACAAACGCUUCGUUGACCGUGGCGCCGCUCGUUCGGUG